rnacentral:rRNA from 1 species
AGCCUGACGCAGCGACGCCGCGUGCGGGAUGAAGGCCUUCGGGUUGUAACCCCUGUCCGGGGGGAAGAAUAUGACGGUACCCCCUGAGGAAGCCUCGGCUAACUACGUGCCAGCAGCCGCGGUAAAACGUAGGAGGCAAGCGUUAUCCGGAUUUACUGGGCGUAAAGCGUUCGCAGGCGGUCUGGUGUGUCGGAGGUGAAAUCCCCCGGCUCAACCGGGAAGCUGCCUUCGAAACUGCAAGACUAGAGGACAUCAGAGGGUGAUGGAAUUCCCGGUGUAGAGGUGAAAUGCUUAUAUCUCGGGAGGAACACCAGUGGCGAAAGCGGUCACCUGGCCUGUUGCUGACGCUGAGGAACGAAAGCCAGGGUAGCGAACGGGAUUAGAUACCCCGGUAGUCCUGGCUGUAAACGAUGCGCACUAGGUGCUGGGAGAUUCGACCCUUUCUGUGCCGCAGCUAACGCACUAAGUGCCCCGCCUGGGGAGUACGACCGCAAGGUUAAAACUCAAAGGAAUUGACGG